GGACACGUUCUGACAUUGGUGGAGUCUAUGCCUCAAUGCAUCAGAGCUUUUUUGGCAGCACGAGGGGGACCUAAACAAUAUUAAAUGGCUUUAAUGUUGUUGCUGAUUAGUGUAGUUCUCAGUGUUGUACUCUCGUGACUGACAGAUGAAGGGCCAGGAGCUGAAGAUGGUCACCCAGAAAAAAAAGGCGUCAGCUGCUGCAAGGGACAGUCUUCAGGUAAGUAACCCC